GUCACGACAGUCUUAAUUGGUGGAAUCUUUCCCUCCUCUCCAAGGUAAAUGAUGUUCCCACAGUAAUGGCAAGGCUUCUAUUUUUGCUGUACACAUAAAAAAUGCAUGAUGGCAAUAUGGAGAUAUGAGGACCGAGAAAGAAAAAAGAGACAUUGGAUAAGAAAUUUUUAAAGAAAAAUGUUUCAUUCCACUAUAAAGUCUUUUGUUACAAAA
rnacentral:lncRNA from 1 species